GGCCCAGGAGCCAGGAUCCCCCCGGAGCUCACCCAGCCCUCCUGUGCUCAAGGCUCCAGAGCCUUGCUGGAACAGGGAGAUGUCAGCACUCUGACUGCCUGAUGGUUGAAUCUGCAAGUUCAUAAGAGAGUUUCUUGUUGAUGGUUUUUGUAAGGACUUGUCUGAUGGGUCACUCUGGUUCAAAAGAUUUUUCCCAGCAUUCAAGUGCUUUACUUCCUAGGCUUGUCUGGAAGCACGUGUUUAUCUGCUUUUCCCUGCUUGUAUGGCUCUCUGCUUUGGAGCGAGGUGCUGGAAAUCCCUGUGUCUAUGCCAGCAGCAGCAGCCUUCCACCAUUCCCACAUUUAAAGGAGAAGGGAAACUCUGUCAUGCUUUUGAGAUCUCAAAAAAGUGAACAGCUGGCAGUGCAACCUCUCUGGGCCUGAUCUCCCAGAGUGUUCCGGAACGGCCCAGUGUGUGUGAGGACGUGGAUCACCUCUCCACAGGGCACAGCUCACCCUGCAAGGGGCACCUGGGGCAUGGGCUGCCCAAUGUGAGCUGUCCCCGGGGUCAUUUUGGGGCUGAAAAUGGUAAAGCUGGAGGCGCCUCGGCACAUGGAUUCCACCGGCUGCCAGGACCUGGGCAUGCCAGCAGUGAGGGACAAUGGGGAUGUUCCACAGAGGGCUGGGCUGCUGCUGUGUAACAAUGGGUGACCUGUGCCAGGGUGGGCCAUCACCUUGAAACAGGGGACACCAUAAACAGAGCCACAUGUAGCAAGGAACGAGGGGGAGACCGCAGGGGAAGGAGCCUGUCAGCAGCCAUGGCAGAGCUCACCCUGGGCCAGAUAUUGGAUUCGGCCAUCGGGAUGCCCAAGACUGAUCCCAUCAACUUCGAGCAACUGCGCAACCUGCUGAACGGGAUGCUUGUGAACCUGGGCCUGCGGGAUCUGGUCGUCCAGGAGAGCGGGGAACCCCCGGAGGGGACCCCGACAAUCCCCCCAGCUGCCUCCAUGGCUGCUGACCUUGAGGAGUUAAAGCAGAAAACGGAAGCCAAUGAAAGAGAAAUCGCUGAGGUCAGGGCUCUUUGCGAGGAGCUCCGUGUGGAGAUCAACGAGGUGAAGGAGCAGCAGUCCCACAUGGAGGAGAACAUGCAGAAGAUGCAGGAGAUUCUGGACACGGUGAGCUGCCAGCGGUGCCCCUGGGAGCUGCCCCUUACUGUGUUGCCCUGCCAUCCUGCUCUACAGCCCUUGGUGGC
rnacentral:lncRNA from 1 species